rnacentral:lncRNA from 1 species
CUUGAUGGCUGCAAUGCAGGAGGUGACCAUCCCGGACAGCUCUCGAAACGUGCGGCCCCGAACUGGGCUGGUUUGAUGUUAGAAAAUAAUAAUAAUAAUAAAUCCAAGGCAAUGAGGAAUUUUAAGAGAACAGGAAAAAGAAAAAUAUCCAAACAGGCCAUUUUUUUGUUUGUUUGUUUGAGGAUAAAUCGCGUUAUUAAUUUUGAUGCUAUCUCUUGCGAUAAGAGGGAAAAGAAAAGGGUAAUUAAUAGAGAGUCUGCGGGGUCAGAACAACGGCAAGAAAAGCAGCGUCUGCGCUCCUCCCGGGGUGUGCAUAACGCGGGGGUCGUGGGGCUGAGCCCCCCCCCCUCCCCCAGAGAAGGACGGUGGGGCUGGGAACGGCGGUGGCCGAAGCCGGUUGGUGGCAGUUGGUGGCAACGGGAGAUGGUGGCGAUGGGCGGUGGUCGCAGUGUGAGCCACCUCCGCUCCUCCUUUGCUGCGGCGCUGGGGAUGCCGUUGACUCCACCAGUGCAGACAGUGGCUUCCCCUGCUGUGAUGCCCCACUCGUUUCCUGGGCAGCCAAGAGCAAUGCUUGAGUCCUGGUGGAAGUUCAUUCAGAAUUGCCUGGAGCGAAGGCUGGAGAGGAAAACCACAACCACAGCAGAGCCUGGACACGGGGAGCUGCUAGCAGGACCCAUCUCAGGGACAGUCACUGUGUGUACCUUCCUCCAUCCUCCUCCUGCUCCCAGCAGCUGAUGGCCUGGAGCAGCACAGAGCAAGCCUGGCAUCGGGCUAUAGGGACACCAGGAGCACCCCGGGGAUAGGACCCAACACCAUGCCACACUGGUGGAGAACACAAAGCUGGAAGAGGGGAAAAAAAAAAUCAACAGAAGAAGAAGAAAAGAAUGGAAACGAAAGUCUCCAAACUCAGGAGAUCUGUGUUAAUUGCUUACGAACGUCUCCAUCCCAAAAGUUAUCCGAUUGAUGUUGUCGUGCUUUUUUUUUGACAGCCUGUCUGUUAUGUAUUUUUUUUUAAAUAUUCAUGCACCGAAAUCUAAUUACUAGGCAAAUUUAAUGAUAAUGAAAUGAAGGCACUUUAGCAGAAAGCAUAGGGCCUUGUUAAUAUUUUCUCAGUCUCUGUCUUGCUCACAUUUUUUUUUCACCGCCGCCUUUCUUGCAGUAUAAAAGAAUUGCCAAAAAUAAAACUUGGAUUGCUGAAGA